rnacentral:lncRNA from 1 species
GACAAGUUGAGGUUCGAUUGGACGGAGCCCCCGAGUGUCGGGUGCGUCCAAUGACAAGUUCAGGGUCGAUUGGACGCAGCCGCGAGUGUCGGGUGCGUCCAAUGACAAGUUUAGGGUCGAUUGGACGGAGCCCCGACUGUCAGGUGCAUCCAAUGACAAGUUCAGGAUCGAUUGGACGCAACCCCCGAGUGUCGGGUGCGCCCAAUUACAAGUUUGGGGUCCAUCUCUCAGCUUUGAGUUUGAUGCGACCGCAACAGGUUAAGUAAAAGAAAAGGACUCUGAGUAGAGGAAGAUAAAUACUUUUUAUUACGUAACGAUCUUACAAGAAGUUACUUAAAAAUGCGGAGAAAAAGGAAAAAUAGACGAUAAACUAAAAAAAUCAAGCAAUAAAGCCUGGC